rnacentral:rRNA from 1 species
GCUUGCUCUCGGGUGACGAGUGGCGGACGGGUGAGUAAUGUCUGGGAAACUGCCUGAUGGAGGGGGAUAACUACUGGAAACGGUAGCUAAUACCGCAUAACGUCGCAAGACCAAAGAGGGGGACCUUCGGGCCUCUUGCCAUCAGAUGUGCCCAGAUGGGAUUAGCUAGUAGGUGGGGUAACGGCUCACCUAGGCGACGAUCCCUAGCUGGUCUGAGAGGAUGACCAGCCACACUGGAACUGAGACACGGUCCAGACUCCUACGGGAGGCAGCAGUGGGGAAUAUUGCACAAUGGGCGCAAGCCUGAUGCAGCCAUGCCGCGUGUAUGAAGAAGGCCUUCGGGUUGUAAAGUACUUUCAGCGGGGAGGAAGGUGUUGUGGUUAAUAACCACAGCAAUUGACGUUACCCGCAGAAGAAGCACCGGCUAACUCCGUGCCAGCAGCCGCGGUAAUACGGAGGGUGCAAGCGUUAAUCGGAAUUACUGGGCGUAAAGCGCACGCAGGCGGUCUGUCAAGUCGGAUGUGAAAUCCCCGGGCUCAACCUGGGAACUGCAUUCGAAACUGGCAGGCUGGA